rnacentral:lncRNA from 10 species
UGUUUCCGUAGUGUGGGAGCUUUGUUCUUUCACUGUUUGCGGUGCCAUUCCAUAUAAAGUGAAGGAUAACGGCUACAGCAUUUUUUGUUAGACUUGGACAAUGUUGAAUGUACUACAGAAGCAUACUUUAAGGUGGCAUGGUGGCACAAGCUUACAGUUCAGCUUUUCUCUAUCUAGUAUUCGGCUUUUCUCAGGAUAUCUCUCUGUCGGCUAGGCUGGAGUGUAGUGGUGUGAUCAUCAUGGCUCACUGUGGCCUCAAACUCCUACUAUGGACAGGAGACAGGGAAAUACUGGGUAGAAGAGGACAGUUCCCCCUCCAGAGAGAGACAAGGAGAUGAGGAGACAAGCAGACGAACAGCGGAACAAUGCAGCAGAGAAAGAGAGAAGAGAAGGAACGUCUGAACGUCGAGAGGAGUUCGGCUGCUGGACGGCCAAACUCCAGGGGAAGAUCAUCUUCCCACUCCAUUCCCCCUCCAGCUCCCCAUCCAUCCCACUGAGAGCCACUUC